UUAAGCGACUAAGCGUACACGGUGGAUGCCCUGGCAGUCAGAGGCGAUGAAGGACGUGCUAAUCUGCGAUAAGCGUCGGUAAGGUGAUAUGAACCGUUAUAACCGGCGAUUUCCGAAUGGGGAAACCCAGUGUGUUUCGACACACUAUCAUUAACUGAAUCCAUAGGUUAAUGAGGCGAACCGGGGGAACUGAAACAUCUAAGUACCCCGAGGAAAAGAAAUCAACCGAGAUUCCCCCAGUAGCGGCGAGCGAACGGGGAGCAGCCCAGAGCCUGAAUCAGUGUGUGUGUUAGUGGAAGCGUCUGGAAAGGCGCGCGAUACAGGGUGACAGCCCCGUACACAAAAAUGCACAUGCUGUGAGCUCGAUGAGUAGGGCGGGACACGUGGUAUCCUGUCUGAAUAUGGGGGGACCAUCCUCCAAGGCUAAAUACUCCUGACUGACCGAUAGUGAACCAGUACCGUGAGGGAAAGGCGAAAAGAACCCCGGCGAGGGGAGUGAAAAAGAACCUGAAACCGUGUACGUACAAGCAGUGGGAGCACGCUUAGGCGUGUGACUGCGUACCUUUUGUAUAAUGGGUCAGCGACUUAUAUUCUGUAGCAAGGUUAACCGAAUAGGGGAGCCGAAGGGAAACCGAGUCUUAACUGGGCGUUAAGUUGCAGGGUAUAGACCCGAAACCCGGUGAUCUAGCCAUGGGCAGGUUGAAGGUUGGGUAACACUAACUGGAGGACCGAACCGACUAAUGUUGAAAAAUUAGCGGAUGACUUGUGGCUGGGGGUGAAAGGCCAAUCAAACCGGGAGAUAGCUGGUUCUCCCCGAAAGCUAUUUAGGUAGCGCCUCGUGAAUUCAUCUCCGGGGGUAGAGCACUGUUUCGGCAAGGGGGUCAUCCCGACUUACCAACCCGAUGCAAACUGCGAAUACCGGAGAAUGUUAUCACGGGAGACACACGGCGGGUGCUAACGUCCGUCGUGAAGAGGGAAACAACCCAGACCGCCAGCUAAGGUCCCAAAGUCAUGGUUAAGUGGGAAACGAUGUGGGAAGGCCCAGACAGCCAGGAUGUUGGCUUAGAAGCAGCCAUCAUUUAAAGAAAGCGUAAUAGCUCACUGGUCGAGUCGGCCUGCGCGGAAGAUGUAACGGGGCUAAACCAUGCACCGAAGCUGCGGCAGCGACACUAUGUGUUGUUGGGUAGGGGAGCGUUCUGUAAGCCUGUGAAGGUGUACUGUGAGGUAUGCUGGAGGUAUCAGAAGUGCGAAUGCUGACAUAAGUAACGAUAAAGCGGGUGAAAAGCCCGCUCGCCGGAAGACCAAGGGUUCCUGUCCAACGUUAAUCGGGGCAGGGUGAGUCGACCCCUAAGGCGAGGCCGAAAGGCGUAGUCGAUGGGAAACAGGUUAAUAUUCCUGUACUUGGUGUUACUGCGAAGGGGGGACGGAGAAGGCUAUGUUGGCCGGGCGACGGUUGUCCCGGUUUAAGCGUGUAGGCUGGUUUUCCAGGCAAAUCCGGAAAAUCAAGGCUGAGGCGUGAUGACGAGGCACUACGGUGCUGAAGCAACAAAUGCCCUGCUUCCAGGAAAAGCCUCUAAGCAUCAGGUAACAUCAAAUCGUACCCCAAACCGACACAGGUGGUCAGGUAGAGAAUACCAAGGCGCUUGAGAGAACUCGGGUGAAGGAACUAGGCAAAAUGGUGCCGUAACUUCGGGAGAAGGCACGCUGAUAUGUAGGUGAGGUCCCUCGCGGAUGGAGCUGAAAUCAGUCGAAGAUACCAGCUGGCUGCAACUGUUUAUUAAAAACACAGCACUGUGCAAACACGAAAGUGGACGUAUACGGUGUGACGCCUGCCCGGUGCCGGAAGGUUAAUUGAUGGGGUUAGCGCAAGCGAAGCUCUUGAUCGAAGCCCCGGUAAACGGCGGCCGUAACUAUAACGGUCCUAAGGUAGCGAAAUUCCUUGUCGGGUAAGUUCCGACCUGCACGAAUGGCGUAAUGAUGGCCAGGCUGUCUCCACCCGAGACUCAGUGAAAUUGAACUCGCUGUGAAGAUGCAGUGUACCCGCGGCAAGACGGAAAGACCCCGUGAACCUUUACUAUAGCUUGACACUGAACAUUGAGCCUUGAUGUGUAGGAUAGGUGGGAGGCUUAGAAGUGUGGACGCCAGUCUGCAUGGAGCCGACCUUGAAAUACCACCCUUUAAUGUUUGAUGUUCUAACGUUGACCCGUAAUCCGGGUUGCGGACAGUGUCUGGUGGGUAGUUUGACUGGGGCGGUCUCCUCCUAAAGAGUAACGGAGGAGCACGAAGGUUGGCUAAUCCUGGUCGGACAUCAGGAGGUUAGUGCAAUGGCAUAAGCCAGCUUGACUGCGAGCGUGACGGCGCGAGCAGGUGCGAAAGCAGGUCAUAGUGAUCCGGUGGUUCUGAAUGGAAGGGCCAUCGCUCAACGGAUAAAAGGUACUCCGGGGAUAACAGGCUGAUACCGCCCAAGAGUUCAUAUCGACGGCGGUGUUUGGCACCUCGAUGUCGGCUCAUCACAUCCUGGGGCUGAAGUAGGUCCCAAGGGUAUGGCUGUUCGCCAUUUAAAGUGGUACGCGAGCUGGGUUUAGAACGUCGUGAGACAGUUCGGUCCCUAUCUGCCGUGGGCGCUGGAGAACUGAGGGGGGCUGCUCCUAGUACGAGAGGACCGGAGUGGACGCAUCACUGGUGUUCGGGUUGUCAUGCCAAUGGCACUGCCCGGUAGCUAAAUGCGGAAGAGAUAAGUGCUGAAAGCAUCUAAGCACGAAACUUGCCCCGAGAUGAGUUCUCCCUGACUCCUUGAGAGUCCUGAAGGAACGUUGAAGACGACGACGUUGAUAGGCCGGGUGUGUAAGCGCAGCGAUGCGUUGAGCUAACCGGUACUAAUGAACCGUGAGGCUUAACCUU
rnacentral:rRNA from 1 species